AACGCACCUUGCGCCCUUUGGUAUUCCGAAGGGCACACCUGUUUGAGUGUCAUUAAUUUCUCAACCCUAUCAUUUUUUAAUCAAAUUGUUAGUGUUUGGAUGUUGAGUGUUGUUGGACUUUUAGUUCAACUCGCUUUAAAUUUAUGAGCAGGCUCUUACAAUUUCGGACUGACUCAAUGUGAUAAGAAAUUUCAUUGAGGAUGCCUUACGGCAGCCGAAUUGUUGGGAAAUGCCGCUACUAGUUGACCCUUAUAUUUUUAGACCUCAAAUCAGGUGGGACUACCCGCUGAACUUAA
rnacentral:misc_RNA from 1 species